rnacentral:rRNA from 1 species
UGAGUUCGCAUGUCCGCAUGAUUAAAGGUAUUUUCCGGAGACGAUGGGGAUGCGUUCAAAUAGAUAGUAGGCGGGGUAACGGCCCACCUAGUCAUCGAUGGAUAGGGGUUCUGAGAGGAAGGUCCCCCACAUUGGAACUGAGACACGGUCCAAACUCCUACGGGAGGCAGCAGUGAGGAAUAUUGGUCAAUGGGCGAGGGCCUGAACCAGCCAAGUAGCGUGAAGGAUGACUGCCCUAUGGGU